ACAGGGCACAAAGAUGGUAUUGCUGUAUUCUAUGCACGUAGUAUAAUUGUGACGAAUAUUACUUGUAUAACCUAAUUACUUUUAUAUGAUUGGCUGGGACUAGAGCGUCCCUUGCUUGUAUGAUUUUCUUAUAUACAAGUACGCAGGAGAAAUAAAGCUAGUCUUGAACAAACCAUGAGUGCGUGUGUUUCUGACUGGCAAUGCAUUGCGGACUUUCCAUACAUUCAGAAUAUCCUUAAACCCGGGUCUAGUUGAACUAGCAGCCUAACAGAUGGUGGCAGCGGUGGGAUGGUCGUCUUGCAGAUCCGAUCCACCGGGUCAUACCGGGAGACAAAGUCCUAAUAGAACAACUCGCAGUGAGAAGACAUAUAGGCCCCGUUUACACCAGCCCACACAAAGUAGAAAAAGGUCUCCAGAACGGCUGUACUUACUUCCCAGGGACCACAAUGGAUCCGUGCAUCCCUGAUAAAGACAACCCCCUUUUUUCCCCCUUCCAACUUCAGAGGCACCAACAGAAGAGCAGAAAAGGAGGGACCAACAAGCCACACAACUGGAGGACUGAAUCCAAGGAUUGGAACAGGUCACAGUGCAACUACCUUGAACAUUGUCAAAGACUGACCCCCAAUUUGCUCCCCCAUUUCGGUCCCAGACCACGUCAAACUCCAUAUUGGCCCAAAUUGCAGAAUAUUUUUCUUUGUCACGGAUUGUUACAUGUUGUGUUCUCCUUAUUGCAACCCCAGAAAAAUGAUAUUGAUUUGCGCUUUUGUUAUAUAUCUGAUUGCUAAAAUUACCCUUUGCGCUAUUGGAAGAUUGACAAAACCCUGUGCGAAAAGGGGUGAGAGUGUCAGCAUGGCGCUGUUGACCAUAGAGCAGAAAUGGUAUAAUGAGUGAUUGCGUCGGCUCUAGAGUUAGAGUUAGAGUUCCCCCAUAUGUAUUGAUAGGCUAAUAGUUCCCCUGUACUAAUAAUGCAUUAUAAGGCUUGUUAGAGUUCCCCCUUAGUGAUAAAUGCGUGAUGUUUAUGUACCCUUUUGUCUAGAGCUUUUAGGACAAGUUACAUAGAAACAACCUUGCCAUUUUGUUAUUAUGUUCUAGAUGAAGAAUGAAAAAGAUGGUAUUGCUGUAUUCUAUGCACGUAGUAUAAUUGUGACGAAUAUUACUUGUAUAACCUAAUUACUUUUAUAUGAUUGGCUGGGACUAGAGCGUCCCUUGCUUGUAUGAUUUUCUUAUAUACAAGUACGCAGGAGAAAUAAAGCUAGUCUUGAACAAA